rnacentral:lncRNA from 1 species
GUAUUUUCUGGACGUUAUAACAAAAAGGUUGAUUUUCCUUUCUCUCUUCUUUUCAGUUAUACAACGGAAGCUGCAGAGCAGGUAGUACAAUAAAUCAUUCAUACGGCUUUGAGUUUUUCCCCAAAAAAGUUUUUUUCGGUUUGGGCUAUAUUUCUUUUCUUCGCCUGUGAGAUCAAACUGAAAAUCAUGUUUAUGUUUUCUAGGCCUGGGGCAGAUUACAGAAAGGCACAAACGUUCUCAGGUAAUUCUAAAGAAUGAAAUGGGAGGAUAAAGCCAAAUUCAAACCCUCCAGUUCCUGAGGAACAGGGCUGGGCCUCUUCAUAGUGCCAUGGGGGAAGAGUAUUAGAUCAUUUCAGUAGUCAGAUACGUUGGGGAUGGGCAUGAUAUAAAUAUUAAAAUAGAUUAGCUAAAUUAGAUUGAAUCUUCCUUCCACAGACCAUGGAGCAGCAACAAAGAUGCUUCACUAGCUACAUCGGUAUUCCCCAGCAUAGGGAAUUGCUCCUCAUAGCGGCAAUGUGAAAGGUGGCUUAGUGAAGGGGGAUGGCCAGAGUAUUACUGCUCUCCAGUUAUCUUCAAUGUUGUAAUGGCCCCUUGGAUGCAGCCAAGCAUAGUUUAAACAUCAGUGUGGCUGCUCUAUGUUCUGAGAAAUGAGCCUGCCCUAGUAGGGAUGGAACAGUAGAAGACAGCAGAACUUUCACAGUCUCUGAACUCAAAAGUAAGGGGUUCAAAAGUAGGCCGAAUGAGUUUGCCCAUCCCUAAUGAAGUGCUCGUUUGCAUUUGUUACCUAUUAAUUUUUUUUAAAAAUUUUAGGGCAUGAAAAUGCUAUGGAUGACUUUGGAAUAUAUGAAUUUGUUGCUUUUCCAGACCCCACUGGUGUUCCUACGGUUCCAAGUCAACCUGUUUCUGGCUCUGACUUUGUCCAAGGGCAGGAUUUACACAGUACAGUUUAUGAAGUUAUUCAGCAUAUUCCAGAACAACAGGAAGACCAUCAAGAAGGUACAUGAAGAUGCAAGCACAGCAAAUCAAGACAUCCUAAUGCAAAUGUUAACUUCUGUGUCUUUACUGGAAAUGGAAAGCAAAUGUCUGCCGCUCUCAAAAUGGCAAAAGGACUAAGCUAGCUUCUAAAAUGAUAAUACUUUCUUAAUCUAGCCAUUCUUUUUUCUUUCUUGCUCCUAACAUACUGGAUUUGGUUAUUGAUUUUGUUUAACUAAUGGUUUCUUGAAGCUGCUGGGAUUUUUUAAUUGCUGAAAAUUUUUUGCAUUCUGAACUGCAAAAAGAAAACAGAGCCAAAAGAAAAUAUAGAUAAUAAAUACUAUAUCAUUAAGUCUGGGAUUGCUGCC